rnacentral:rRNA from 1 species
CACGUAGGGGGCGAGCGUUGUCCGGAUUUAUUGGGCGUAAAGAGCUCGUAGGCGGCUUGUUGCGUCAGCUGUGAAAACCCGCAGCUCAACUGUGGGCUUGCAGCUGAUACGGGCAGGCUUGAGUUCGGUAGGGGAGACUGGAAUUCCUGGUGUAGCGGUGAAAUGCGCAGAUAUCAGGAGGAACACCAAUGGCGAAGGCAGCACUCUGGGACGUGACUGACGCUGAGACGCGAAAGCGUGGGGAGCAAACAGG